rnacentral:rRNA from 1 species
UACGUAGGUGGCAAGCGUUAUCCGGAAUUAUUGGGCAUAAAGCGCGCGCAGGCGGUUUCUUAAGUCUGAUGUGAAAGCCCACGGCUCAACCGUGGAGGGUCAUUGGAAACUGGGGAACUUGAGUGCAGAAGAGAAAAGCGGAAUUCCACGUGUAGCGGUGAAAUGCGUAGAGAUGUGGAGGAACACCAGUGGCGAAGGCGACACGCUGGGCCGUACCUGACGCUAAAGCGCGACAGCAUGGGGAGCAAACGGG